ensembl:lncRNA
GUCAGACGUAGGAUUGUGGCACUUCCUGGGAGCCUCCUCCAAGCCACACGUUAAUCGACUAAUCGUUCCUGCAGUGUUCUGAGGUGGUAACGAUGGGGCUCAUGGGGAGGCCCCCGGGAGAGUUGUCAUUCGCGGGCUCACACGGGGAGAAAUCGGGUAGGUCGGUAAGUCAGAAGGUUGAAUUAAUGUAUCGAUUUGAUGUUGACCAACAAAAAAACUAGAUAAUUAUAAUAAUAAAUACUGUUCAUGUAAUGGUAUAGUUAGGUCUGGGACCUGCGUAGCUAAAAAAACUGUUUUGGAAAUAGUAAUGAACGUGUCCGGGACAUGUGUAGCUAUAAAAUAAGUAAAGAUAAAACUGAGUUUUACUUUACUUCACUUUGCUAAGACAUAUUCACGUUUGAUGUGGUAGGCAGAAAGUGGCGCAAUAGGAUAUUGUGCAGAGAAUAAGGCGUAUUCACGUUUGAUGUGGUAUGCGAUGUACAUAGGAGUGAAUCAAAGUGUGGACAACAUCAAAUGCGAGCAAUAGGUAGAAUAAAUGAAGAUUAGGUCAUCCAAUAUGCAUAGUUAGUGUAGGACAAUCGGGUAGUAUGAUGAAGGUAACUGUUAUUAUGAGAUACGGUUAACACAGAAGUGAUAUUGAACAUGCAAAUUUUAACAUUGUUAAUUCCCUUUUACAUCUUUUUGGUUAUAGCAACUUGGUUGAACUACGGUGUUGUUAUCUUUGGUUGUCAUUCAAUGCACAUGGCUGAAGCAAUGCGCAAGGAGGGAUGUAGUGUGAAAUUAAACCAAAGUAGAUACUGUAAAACAAUUAAAAUUAGAAUUCAUGGAAAUAUGUUUUUGAACAACUAACUGCUGUACAUGAGUUUGUAUUUCUGCAAUAGAAGCAAAAAGUUCCAGAACCAGAUGCAGACACACCCGGAGCCUACAAACUACCACCGCCGAGCAAGGACUAACAGUCACAUGAGGAGAUCAAAUAACAGCAGGAUUUGAAUCGCACCGGAUGGGUUGGUGGCCAGGGCGCUGGUAUGAUUACAAUCCCUCAGGCCACCUGUUGCUGACACGACGACGACGGAGAACCUGUUUGGAGGCUCCCAUGAUGUAGGAGUAACCUCUCUGAGUUGAGCCCUUGACAAGGAAGGACGAUUCUUGGGUUCAUGAACUACAGGCCCGACGGCGACAGAAUCCAUGCCCAAACCACCCACAUGCAACAGCGAACCAAUGCACGAAGAUCACCUGAACCACCCGAAUCCAUGCUAGGCUAUCAAUAAUCUUGAAUUUUUUAAAAUUGUAUUAUGACUACCAAUUUUUACUUUACUU